GAUGAACGCUGGCGGCGUGCCUAAUACAUGCAAGUCGAGCGAACAGAUGAGGAGCUUGCUCCUCUGACGUUAGCGGCGGACGGGUGAGUAACACGUGGAUAACCUACCUAUAAGACUGGGAUAACUUCGGGAAACCGGAGCUAAUACCGGAUAAUAUAUUGAACCGCAUGGUUCAAUAGUGAAAGACGGUUUUGCUGUCACUUAUAGAUGGAUCCGCGCCGCAUUAGCUAGUUGGUAAGGUAACGGCUUACCAAGGCGACGAUGCGUAGCCGACCUGAGAGGGUGAUCGGCCACACUGGAACUGAGACACGGUCCAGACUCCUACGGGAGGCAGCAGUAGGGAAUCUUCCGCAAUGGGCGAAAGCCUGACGGAGCAACGCCGCGUGAGUGAUGAAGGUCUUCGGAUCGUAAAACUCUGUUAGUAGGGAAGAACAAAUGUGUAAGUAACUAUGCCCGUCUUGACGGUACCUAAUCAGAAAGCCACGGCUAACUACGUG
rnacentral:rRNA from 1 species